rnacentral:rRNA from 1 species
GAGACUCCGUUAGUAGUGGCGAGCGAACGCGGAUCAGGCCAGUGCUCUCUCUUAGAUUAUCAGAACCAUCUGGAAAGUUGGGCCGUAGCGGGUGAUAGCCCCGUAUGAAGCGUCAACGAGAGAGACUCGAGUAGGGCGGGACACGUGAAAUCCUGUCUGAACAUGGGGGGACCAUCCUCCAAGCCUAAGUACUCCU